rnacentral:misc_RNA from 1 species
AACGCACAUUGCGCCCCUUGGUAUUCCGAGGGGCAUGCCUGUUCGAGCGUCAUUAUAACCACUCAAGCCUCGGCUUGGUAUUGGGGUUCGCGGUCUCGCGGCCCUUAAAACCAGUGGCGGUGCCAUCUGGCUCUAAGCGUAGUAAUUCUCUCGCUACAGGGUCUAGGUGGUUACUUGCCAAAACCCCCCUAUUUUCUAUGGUUGACCUCGGAUCAGGUAGGGAUACCCGCUGAACUUAA